GUGAGGAAUAUUGCGCAAUGGAGGCAACUCUGACGCAGCCAUGCCGCGUGCAGGAAGAAGGCGCUACGCGUUGUAAACUGCUUUUAACCGGGAAGAAACCCCAGGACGUGUCCUGGGUUGACGGUACCGGAGGAAUAAGCACCGGCUAACUUCGUGCCAGCAGCCGCGGUAAUACGAAGGGUGCAAGCGUUAUCCGGAUUCAUUGGGUUUAAAGGGUGCGUAGGCGGAGCGUUAAGUCAGUGGUGAAAUCCUGCAGCUUAACUGUAGACUGGCCAUUGAUACUGGCGCUCUUGAAUGCGCUUGAAGUGGGCGGAAUGUGCCGUGUAGCGGUGAAAUGCUUAGAUAUGGCACAGAACACCAAUUGCGAAGGCAGCUCACUAAGGCGAUACUGACGCUGAGGCACGAAAGCGUGGGGAUCGAACAGGAUUAGAUACCCGUGUAGUCC
rnacentral:rRNA from 1 species